CUGUGUGUGCCAAAAUUCUGUUCAGGUUCACUGAUUACAUCUAAUCCCAGCACAAAAUGUCUCCCUAGAAUUAUCUACCCUAUAGAUAAAUCUGGCUGCCAUUCAGGUCACUACUUUUGGUAUUAAAUAAAAGUACUUAGCCCUACCUGCUAUACUAAAUUAUUUUUAAAUGGUUUCUGCUUUCUUUACCAACAUUUUUAAAUGUGGCUGAGCUAAAAUCACAGGUCAGGCCUCCUACCCUUGAAUACAUGCAUAGUCUAUUAGGGAGAAAGUCUUCUCCUAUCAUUUCCAUGGGAGCAGUAUCAAAGUGCAAAAAUUAUGAGUGAGUAAUAACAUUGCAUCAAGGGUAUUUAUUUUAAAAAGUUCAGCAGAAGAAAAGUCACAUUAAAACUUCACUCAGACAAUCCCUUUUGCAGAUUGUUAGAAGAGCACUUGUUCAAAUGCAGUUCAAGUGGCAAAAUGGUGAUCAUACAAUUAGGCUAUUUAUUUGACAACUUUUUCAAUAAUUUAUCUGUAUCUGAUGAUACUGCUUUUGUAGGUGAGAAAACAUAAAUUAUCUGUUUCACUUAAUUUUUCUGCCACUAGUUCCUGUGGACUGCUUUUGUACUAGUGUCAUGGAAAACCUUUUCCCCUUCUGUGCCUGACUGAUUGUACCUACUGCACCUGAAUAAUAUUUGCAAUGGAAAUGAGAACUUGUCUUUCCUAAUUAGAGAGCUUGACUGUGCUUAAAGAUGACCAAGUUUCUUGAUCUCUUUGUCCUUUGAAUCUGAACUAUGAAUUCUGUUUAUACAUUGUUCACACAAGGUGUAUUUUGUCUUUUAAAGCUCUCCUGGAUGUUCAUCUCUCUGUCAGAAAAAUAAAUUGGUGGAAGAGAGGGCAAAUUGACAGUCUGAUCCAAUGCUUAUCUCACCUGGUCACCAGGAGCCCCACCCUUUCAGGAUGGGGCAAACAGCUGGUCUCCAGGAGCUCAUGACUGAUUUAAUAAAAGUUCUGGAAGAAUCUGUAGUAAUGCCAUCUCUACAAGUGUCUGUGAGACUCACUUUCAAACUCUGGAGUAUGCAGUACCAUAACUACACAUACUAAAAUCACACCACGUAUUUGUUAACAUAAACAAAUAAGGCAAUGUUCUUAUUUCAUUCUUAUGACCUUUUGCUUCAAGGGUAAAUGCAGUCUUAAUUUCUAACAUUUCUCAGCUUUUGCAGAGGCAUUCUAAGAGGCUCAUUUUUAAACAAGAUGGAACAUGUUCACAGCUGAAAUCUAAACAGGUUCUUCAUCCCUGUUGAAAUGCUCUGCUUAAAUGUUUGAUCCUUAAUGCAGUCUACACUCUGCCUGCAGCAAAUGUUCCUCCCAGCUGCUGUUCUUCCCAUUAACAGGAAGGGGAAGAAGAAUUAAGGUACUACUCUAUCCAAACAUGUUGAAGCCAAGAGCUCAUUAGCUGCCAUCCAAUAUGGAAUGGACUAUAAUAAAUUUAGUAUUUGCCUGCCCA
rnacentral:lncRNA from 1 species